rnacentral:rRNA from 1 species
GACGAACGCUGGCGGCGUGCUUAACACAUGCAAGUCGAACGGAAAGGCCCUGCUUUUGUGGGGUGCUCGAGUGGCGAACGGGUGAGUAACACGUGAGUAACCUGCCCUUGACUUUGGGAUAACUUCAGGAAACUGGGGCUAAUACCGGAUAGGAGCUCCUGCUGCAUGGUGGGGGUUGGAAAGUUUCGGCGGUUGGGGAUGGACUCGCGGCUUAUCAGCUUGUUGGUGGGGUAGUGGCUUACCAAGGCUUUGACGGGUAGCCGGCCUGAGAGGGUGACCGGCCACAUUGGGACUGAGAUACGGCCCAGACUCCUACGGGAGGCAGCAGGGGGGAAUAUGGCACAAUGGGCGGAAGCCUGAUGCAGCAACGCCGCGUGCGGGAUGACGGCCUUCGGGUUGUAAACCGCUUUCGCCGGUGACGAAGCGUGAGUGACGGUAAUGGGUAAAGAAGCACCGGCUAACUACGUG